AUACAUCGGUAAAUGUCAAAUGCGGCAUUGUCGUUUCAGCUGUCAUAGAGUACAAACAAAACUUGAAAGUUUCAUUGUAUCCGGAAUAUUCAUUUCAACAUUCGAAGAAAACAAAUAAACUAUACAAUUUCAAACAGCAUUAAGGUUUUUAUUCGUUGUGUGUUUCGUUGCCACAUUGCAGAACAAAAUUAGUCAACGAAUCAACAACCAACAUUCGUUUCCAAACGAACCUAACCUCAUUUUGUUCAAACCCACUGAUAACAUCGGGAAAUUGCUGCCAAAGUGCAUCGAUUUCCUGUGACCGACAGAGUAUUACCUACUUGUUGCAAAAAGUGAAAACACAAUAUUCUCCAAUCAUGUCAGCCGUCACUCUAGCUACCAACGAUUUUGUGAGUGGAGUUUACGCGACGAUUGGAUCCACAUUGUACUUGAACGAAGAAAAAGCCGAUUUCCAUUUCAUGUUCGAGUUCGAGAUGGUUCCAGCGAGUUCCAGCGAGUUCCAGCGCAUAAACUGUUGCUAACCACGGUCAGCGAUGUGUUUGAAACGAUGUUCAAUGGGUCGUGGCUUGAAGAGCACGAAGUCGAGAUUGUCGAUGCGCCGAUCGCCUCCUUCAAAGAGUUCCUGCAAUUCUUCUACUUGGGUCGAGUGAAACUGACCAUGGACAACGUGGCCAAAGUGAUGUAUCUCGCCAACAAGUACAACGUAACUGAAUGUUUGGCCCUGUGCACAAAGUUCUUGAGACGAAAAAUCACCGACGACAACGUUUGCUGGGCUUAUGGCCUGGAGAUUCUCCACAAACAAAACGAUUUAAAGAGGCUAUGUGAACUGAUGAUCGCACUCGAUACGAAGGCCAUUUUUUCAUCGACAAGUUUCUUGGAUUGCAACAAAAAAGCUCUUGGACACAUUUUGAAACUGGAUUCGUUUUCCUGUUCGGAAGCUGACGUUUUCGAGGCGUGCAUGGCCUGGGUCAUAAAUGCUAGCGAAGAAGACAGCUUGACGAAGGAGAUUGUUGAAGCUCAUUUAGGUGAAUUGUUCUACGCAAUUCGUUUUCCGUCGAUGUCAAUUGAAGGCUUUGCCAAACUCGAUCCUUUGUACGGCGGUCUAUUCACACUCGACGAAUACAGAGAAAUUGUUCAUUUGAUCGUAAUUGAAAAUGCUCAACCGAAAAUAUUCAAUGGAAUACGUCGUAAACACUUUGAAGCAAUUGAAUGUGAUGGAGUGGAUGAAAUAAAGUGUAUUCGAGCAAUCACGACAACAUAUUCGAUAACGCCCUAUUUCAUCAAAGACAUUGAAACAACGAGAUUCUCAACCAAUGAGCCAUUAGUACUUACAUUCUAUUGCACAAAACUUUGGGAAUAUCGGAAUAACAAAAAAACUCAAAGAAGAUUUAUCAUCUGAGAUAAAAAUCGUUCAAGUGAAUGCCUCAGGUGAAGAGGUUGUCCUGCACAACAACAAAAUAAAUUUAAAGACUGGCGACACCACACGUAUAUCAUUGGAGAAACCCAUCCUCAUCAAGCCCGGAAUGAUGUACGAAAUUCGAUUCGUCCAAACCCCACCAACUGAUUGUUGCACUGGUGUCCAAAUGAAAACUGAAGUACGAUUGGAGCCCGAUGUUAUUGUGCGGUUCCACGGUGAACCAAUACCUGAAAAUGAUGGCAUUGCACGGGGAUUAGUGCGUUGUCUAGGAUUCUACAGAGUUUAGGAAAGCGGACAUUGAGCCUAUCUGAAAAAGCUACAAUACAUUUUCAUAUUGUUUUUAUGGAGUUUUUUUUCGAUAGCACAUUGGUUUUCUUUUUUACAAACAGAAAUCAUAUUUCAUUGAAUCUAAAUGAUAUCGAGUCAAUGUCUCAGAACUAAACAAAAUAUUUUCCAAUAAAGUCAUUAACCCUUUAAUAAAUGUAGGGAAUUGAACCAGCUUUCAUGUGAUAGCUUACUCGUUACAAUUUGUCAGCUAUAUCGAAAGUUGUUUGUUCAUGUGCUAUGAAAAAUGCGAAUUUAUAGCAAAACUUCAAAUUUUUCUUCCUCUUAUCUUGACACUUUUGAUUUUUUUCCGAUUUUCUCAAUAAAUUCUCAAAUUUCUGAAAAUCCAAAUAUGAGGUUCAUCUCUAUUUAUCGUGGCAGUCGAAAUUAUUCAAAAAUUAAAAAAUCGCAAUCAAAGGAUUAAAAUGGAGUUUUUUUUUUCAAUGAAAAAUUCAAUAUAAUAAAAUAUAAUUCAUAUAAACAAUCUUUUCAAUCGUGUAUCUCAUUUGUAUCGACUGUUGCGAUCAAAAAGUGAAAUAAAUACAAUGCAUCAAAAUAAA